UGCCAUAAAAAGUGAAACUCCAGCAGGGCCUGUUUGGAUGAGAAGCAGUACCACAUCUGGACUACAUAAGCUUCAGGGGCCAGUGACAUUAGACUUCUACUCUACACAGUGACACAGCCGAGACUGUAAAGAGAAGAUACAACAAAACAAAAAAAACUUCAGAAAGAAUACAUUUUGUUGAAGAUUGAAGGACUUUUGUUAAAUUUAGAGAUCAUGUCCACUUCUGGGAGAUUGCAGGGCAUUCCUAGCUCAGAAGGGAGAUGUACCCCAUUGAGCAUGUUCUGUGUCUCUCCAGGGUCUCCUUCCAGUGACGUGUUGUAAGACCUCUAAAGAGAGCCACCAAGGAUGCAUUCCUAUCAGGUAAAGACUGCGCGCUGGAUUCCUUGUCGUGCUUUGCUGAAGGAUCCACAACAGACGUGCAGUACAGUUAAAAGAAAAGAGACCCUUUUUUCAAGUGAAGGGUUUUCAGGUGAAAUGAAAACGUUGCGGGACGGCAAAGUGUUCUCCCAAAGCCUUUAACGACUCUAAUAACAACAAAAGUGGAGUGGAACCAAUGGGGG